rnacentral:rRNA from 1 species
CCUACGGGUGGCAGCAGUGAGGAAUAUUGGUCAAUGGGCGUAAGCCUGAACCAGCCAAGUCGCGUGAGGGAUGAAGGUUCUAUGGAUCGUAAACCUCUUUUAUAAGGGAAUAAAGUGCGGGACGUGUCCCGUUUUGUAUGUACCUUAUGAAUAAGGAUCGGCUAACUCCGUGCCAGCAGCCGCGGUAAUACGGAGGAUGCGAGCGUUAUCCGGAUUUAUUGGGUUUAAAGGGUGCGUAGGUUGUUUUUUAAGUCAGCGGUGAAAGUUUGUGGCUCAACCAUAAAAUUGCCGUUGAAACUGGAAGACUUGAGUGUGUUUGAGGUAGGCGGAAUGCGUGGUGUAGCGGUGAAAUGCAUAGAUAUCACGCAGAACUCCGAUUGCGAAGGCAGCUUACUAAGCCAUAACUGACACUGAAGCACGAAAGCGUGGGGAUCAAACAGGAUUAGAUACCCCGGUAGUC